AGUGAACGCUGGCGGUAGGCCUAACACAUGCAAGUCGAACGGCAGCACAGUAAGAGCUUGCUCUUACGGGUGGCGAGUGGCGGACGGGUGAGGAAUACAUCGGAAUCUACUUUUUCGUGGGUGAUAACGUAGGGAAACUUACGCUAAUACCGCAUACGACCUACGGGUGAAAGCAGGGGAUCUUCGGACCUUUCGCGAUUGAAUGAGCCGAUGUCGGAUUAGCUAGUUGGCGGGGUAAAGGCCCACCAAGGCGGCGAUCCGUAGCUGGUCUGAGAGGAUGUACCCACACACGGGAUGAGAGACAGAGCAGAGACACCGGCGGGAGGACACAGUCGGGAAUAUUAGGCGAGGGGGGAGAGGGGAAUACAGGAAAACCGCGGAAGGGAUGAAGGCGUAAGGCUGGGAAAGUGAUGAUGUUGGGAGAGAAGAAAAGCAGGUUAAUACGCGACGAUAAUGACAGUACCGGAAGAAUAAGCACCGGCUAACUUCGUG
rnacentral:rRNA from 1 species